rnacentral:rRNA from 1 species
GUGGGGAAUAUUCCGCAAUGGACGAAAGUCUGACGGAGCAACGCCGCGUGAGUGAUGAAGGUCUUCGGACUGUAAAGCUCUGUUGUUUAGGACGAAAGUGCCUGUUGCGAACAGUUACAGGUAUUGACGGUACUAAACGAGGAAGCCACGGCUAACUACGUGCCAGCAGCCGCGGUAAUACGUAGGUGGCAAGCGUUGUCCGGAAUUAUUGGGCGUAAAGAGCAUGUAGGCGGAGAUUUAAGUCUGUUGUGAAAAUGCGGGGCUCAACCCCGUAUUGCGAUGGAAACUGAAUUUCUUGAGUGCAGGAGAGGAAAGGGGAAUUCCCAGUGUAGCGGUGAAAUGCGUAGAUAUUGGGAGGAACACCAGUGGCGAAGGCGCCUUUCUGGACUGUGUCUGACGCUGAGAUGCGAAAGCCAGGGUAGCGAACGGGAUUAGAUACCCCAGUAGUCC